rnacentral:tRNA from 1 species
GGAGAGUUGCCCGAGUGGUUUAAGGGGCACGACUGGAAAUCGUGUGUGCCGGCUUGAACCGGUACCCAGGGUUCGAAUCCCUGACUCUCCGCCA